GUGACAACCUCGACGCGUUCAGUUCUGUGCCAAUCGGUGAAAAAAUACAGCCACAACGUGCGCAAGUCGCGUGCGGACUUCUGCUAAGGCCUAUUUCGCAAAUUGCAGCGCGCCGUGGAACGCAACGUGCGGGCAUUAGGGACUGAAACUCAAACCGUGCCGAACCGAACUGAACCGAACCGAAAAUCAAGUAGAGUACCGUUCAAAUCAUCGCUUCAGCUCAGCUUUCAUAGCCAACACGUGUUGGCCUCGCAUUAGAAAGCUCAUUGCGAAGGGCACUUGACACGAACCGUAAGUCAAACGGUCAAAAGGCCACAGCAAAACGCUUUAAUUGCGUCUGGCUAAAGGGAUUUACUGCUUACCCUCAAAGGGCUCCGUUUUUGUGCGUUCGAGUAAGCGGUUUAAGUGAAUUGUGCGUGUAUCACAAGUCGGGCCAGAGACAUCACCCAAUCGAGCUUUGUGCCAGCAGCGGACUCAGUCGACUGUCUAGCCGACAGACCGAAUAGCAAAUCACACCUAAAGCAGCGGGCAACUGACCUCCAUCUGUGCAGCAAUCAACACUAUUCCCACUCCACCGUGACAACUCUGGCAGCUUCAAUUUGGAAAUCAAUGGAUUGCAAUUAUGAGCAAGCUAAGUGAAGCCCGAGAAAAGUUCAUUAGCAGCAGCUACAAUAACAACAACAACAGCAGCAACAACAGCAGCAGCAACAGCCUCGACAUCGACGACAGCCACAAUAAUCAACAACAUCAUCGGCAGCAAAAUGUAAACGGCUAAAGGAGGACUCGACAGCUGGGUCCGUGAGCUCUGCAGUAGCAAAGUUAAAGACAC